AAGUCGUAACAAGGUCUCCGUUGGUGAACCAGCGGAGGGAUCAUUACAGGACUCGCAAGGCUCCCGUAACCACUGUGAACUUACCGAAACGUUGCCUCGGCGGGCGCCCCGGACGCGGGUGCCGCCCGCCAAAGGCCCAUUAACUCUGUCUUACACCGUUGGCAUCUCCGAGUCCAUCUUAAACGAGUUAAAACUUUCAACAACGGAUCUCUUGGUUCUG
rnacentral:misc_RNA from 1 species